CGUGACCCUAGGUCAGGCGGGAGCACCCGCUAAGUUUAAGCAUAUCAAUAAGCAGAGGAAAACUAGUAACGGUGAGUGAACCGGGAAUAGCCCAGCUUGAAAAUUGGUCACCCUCGGCGUUCAAAUUGUAGUCUGGAGAAGCGUCCUCAGUGGUGGACCCGGCCCAAGUCCCCUGGAAGUAGGCGCCUGAAAGGGUGAGAGCCCCAUCGUGCCCGGACCCUGUCGCACCACGAGGCGCUAUCUACGAGUAGGGUUGUUUGGGAAUGCAGCCCUAAUCGGGCGGUAAAUUCCGUCCAAGGCUAAAUACGGCCGAGAGACCGAGAGUGAACAAGUGCCGUGAAGGAAAGAUGAAAAGGACUUUGAAAAGAGACUCAAAGAGUGCAUGAAAUUGUCGGGAGGGAAGCGGAUGAGGGCCAGCGAUGCUCCCCGGUCAGAUGCGGAACGGCACAAACCGGUCUGCCGAUCGGCUUAGGGUGUGGACCAACGCGGAUUAUGUUGGCGUCCUAAGCCUGGGCUUUUGCAAUGCUCGUAGAGAUGGCGUCACCUCAAUUGUGGCCUGCAGCAUGCGCCUCACUGUGUGCUUUAGCAUCUGCAUGCUCCUGGCGUCGGCCUACAGGCUCCCCAUUCGACCCGUCUUCAAACAUAGACCAAGGUGUCUGACAUGUGUGCGAGUCAACGGGCAAGAAAACCCGUAAGGCAGAAGGAAGCUGAUUGGCGGGAUACCCUGUGGGUGCACCGCCAACCGACCUUGAUCUUCUGAGAAGGGUUCGAGUGAGAGCAUGCCUGUCGAGACCCGAAAGAUGGUGAACUAUGCCUGAGUGGGCCGAAGUUAGAGGAAACUCUGGUGGACGCCCGCAACGAUACUGACAUGCAAAUCGUUCAUCUGACUUGGGUAUAGGCACAAAAGACUAAUCAAACCGUCUAGUAGCUGGUUCCCUCCGAAGGUUCCCUUAGGAUAGCUAGAGCUCGUGUGAGUUCUAUCAGGUAAAGCCAAUGAUUAGAGGCAUCGGGGGCGCAAUGCCCUUGACCUAUUCUCAAACUUUAAAUAGGUAGGACGGCGUGGCUGCUUUGUUGAGCGGUGUCACGGAAUCGAAAGCUCCAAAUGGCAUGCGGGAUGAACCGGAAGCUAGGUUACGAUGCCCAACUACGCGCUAACCUAGAUCCCACAAAGGGUGUUGGUCGAUUAAGACAGCAGGACGAUGGUCAUGGAAGUUGAAAACCGCUAAGGAGUAUGUAACAACUCACCUACCGAAUCAAGUAGCCCUGAAAAUGGAUGGCACUGAAGCAGCCGACCCACACCUCGGCCGUUGGGGCAAGUGCUAGGCCCCGAUGAGUAGGCGGGCUUGGCGGUCGCUGCAAAAUCCGGGGUGCGAGCCCGGGCGGAGCAACCGUCGGUGCAGAUCCUGGUGGAAGUAGCAAAUAUUCAAAUGAGAACUUUGAAGGCCGAAAUGGGGAAAGGUUCAUUGUGAACGGCACAUGCACAUGGGUUCGUCAAUCCUAAGAGACGGGGGAAGCCUGUCCGAUAGCGCUUCAGCGCGAGCUUCGAAAGGGAAUCAGGUUAAAAUUCCUGAACCGGGAUGCGGCAGCUGACGCAACAUUAGGGAGUCCGAAGACGUCACCGGGGGCUCCAGGAAGAGUUAUCUUUUCUGUUUAACGGCCUGCCCAGCCUGGAAAGGGCUCAGUCGGAGGUAGAAUCCAGCGGCCGGAAGAGCGUCGCACGUCACGCGGCGUCUGGUGCUCCCCCGGCGGUCCUUGAAAAUCCGGAGGACCGAGGGCCGUCCGCGCCCGGGAGUACUCAUAACCGCAUCAGGUCUCCAAGGUGAACAGCCUUUGGUCAAUGGAACAAUGUAGGCAAGGGAAGUCGGCAAAAUGGAUCCGUAACCUCGAAAAAAGGAUUGGCUCUGAGGGCUGGGCAUGGGGGUCCCAAUUCCAAACCCGUCGACUGUCGGUGAACUGCUCGAGCUACUCCUGCGGCGAGAACGGGUCACCGCGUGCCGGCCGGAGGACGGACUGGUACGGACGGCCAACUCAGAACUGGUACGGACAAGGGGAAUUCGACUGUUGAAUUAAAAUAAAGCAUUGCGAUGGUCCCUACAGAUGCUUACGCAAUGUGAUUUCUGCCAAGUGCUCUGAAUGUCAAAGUGAAGAAAUUCAACCAAGCGCGAGUAAAUGGCGGGAGUAACUAUGACUCUCUUAAGGUAGCCAAGUGCCUCGUCAUCUAAUUAGUGACGCACAUGAAUGUAUUAACGAGAUUCUGGCUGUCCCUGUCUACUAUCCAGCGAAACCACAGCUGAGGGAAUGGGCUUGGCAGAAUCAAUGAGGAGAGAAUACCCUGUUGAGCUUGAUUCUAGUCUGACUUUGUGAAAUGACUUGAGAGGUGUAGGAUAAGUGGGAGCCCUACGGGCGCAAGUGAAAUACCACUAUGUUUAACGUUAUUUUACUUAUUCCGUGAAUCGGAGGCGGGGCAAUGCCCCUCUUUUUGGACCCAAGGCUAGCCUCGGCGAGCCGAUCCGGGCGGAAGACAUUGUUAGGUGAGGAGUUUGGCUGGGGCGGCACAUCUGUUAAAAGAUAACGUAGGUGUCCUAAGAUGACCUCAACGAGAAUAGAAAUCUCGUGCGGAAGAAAGGGGUAAAAGCUCGUUUGAUUCUGAUUUUCAGUACGAAUACGAACCAUGAAAGCGUGGCCUAUCGAUCCUUUAGACCUUCGUAAUUUGAAGCUAGUGGUGUCAGAAAAGUUACCACAGGGAUAACUGGCUUGUGGCAGCCAAGCAUUCAUAGCGAAGUUACUUUUUGAUCCUUCGAUGUCGGCUCUUCCUAUCAUUAUGAAGCAGAAUUCACCAAGUGUUGGAUUGUUCACCCACCAAUAGGGGACGUGAGCUGGCUUUAGACCGGCGUGAGACAAGUUAGUUUUACCCUACUGAUGACCGCGUCGUGAUAGUAAUUCAACCUAGUAUGAGAAGAACCAUUGAUUCACACAAUUGGUCAUCGCGCUUGCUUGAAAAACCAGUGGCGCAAAGCUACCAUGCGUUGAAUUCUGACUGAAUGCCUCUAAGUCAGAAUUCGGGUUAGAAGUGACACAUGCAGUUGGUUGCCCAUUUGCCGACCCGUAGUAGGGGCCUCGGUGCUUAAGGGCACAUGUCAGGGGAGUAGUCGCCGUGACAGAGUAGUUGCGGAGGCCUCCCCGAAGAUAAAUUUCCAUCGAGCGCCCCAUAGAAUUCCUUGCAGAUGGCUUAAAUAUGUGAUGGGGUAUUGUAAGUGGCAGAGUGGCCUUGCUGCCAUGAUCCCCUGAGAUUCAGCCCUUUGUCGCUUCGAUUCGU
rnacentral:rRNA from 1 species